AUUGAACGCUGGCGGCAGGCCUAACACAUGCAAGUCGAACGAGUGGCGGACGGGUGAGUAAUGUCGGGGACACUGCCUGAUGGAGGGGGAAAACCAGUGGAAACGGUAGCAAAUAGCGCAUACUAUCAGAUGUGCCUAGAUGGGUUUGGCGUGUUGGUGGGGUAAAGGCUCACCGAGGCGACGAUCCCUAGCUGGUCUGAGAGGAUGACCAGCCACACUGGGACUGAGACACGGCCCAGACUCCUACGGGAGGCAGCAGUGGGGAAUAUUGCACAAUGGGCGCAAGCCUGAUGCAGCCAUGCCGCGUGUAUGAAGAAGGCCUUCGGGUUGUAAAGUACUUUCAGUCGGGAGGCGUUACCCGCAGAAGAAGCACCGGCUAACUCCGUGCCAGCAGCCGCGGUAAUUC
rnacentral:rRNA from 1 species